AAAUACAUACAAUAAGGUGUGAUCAGCCUCCUGAGGUGAGCAGCUUAGAUUUUAAAUAGAGAAGUCUUUGUGAACCUUAUUUCCUAAAGGAGUGAAAAGCCAGAAUGCCAACUUGAACAGUGUGAAUAGAAGUGUAACCAUGACAUCCCAUCCAGACAGCAAUAACCAUUCAUAUCAUAUGGAGCUGAAUAGCAAGAGACAACCAUCUUUAUCAUUUUACUGAUCAAGUGACCUCCUUCUCUCUUCUCCAGUAUACUUCCAGCAAAUCCCAUCUAGACAAAACUUGUUCUUUUUAAUUGUAAAUGAUGGUACUUUUGGCAGUGUCAGGCCAAAGGUCAGUGAGGUUAAUGUACUGUCAAAAACCAAGCUAGGAAGAGAAUCAAGUGAUAGGCAGCUUGCACUGAAAAUAUUGCUCCUUUCUUUUAUCUUUUUCUAUUUAUUCCAGCUGGGGGAAAACAAAAUUAAAACAAUAGUGAAGAUUUUUAAAAAGGCAGGGAAAAGGGGGAAAUCUAAAUGAAAACUAGUUUUUUUGCUUAAAAUUUUUUAAAGGGGGUGGGGAAAACUGCUGGAAAACUGAAAAUUUGUUCUGAAUAAUAUUUUUUCCAUAGAGAAAAAUAUUUUUCCCAUAUUUUAAUCAGCCCAAGUCUCUACUUCAAGAAGUCUUUAUGUGCUUAAGCUUCUCAGAAAGAGAAAAAAAGAAACUGAGCUUAUGAGAAAGACUCAGUUGAAAACCAGAUGGCUUCUGCAACAGUGAAUAGAUUGAAAACUGUGCCGGGAGUGAACAGCUCCAUAGAUUAGGCAAGAAGUUUGAGAGAUCUUCUGAAAGAACACAACAACAGUCAUGAUUCAAAACACUUACAGGGUUUUUAUUACAACAUAUAAUUGACUAAUUGACUGAAAUAUAUUGUGAUUUAUUCCACGAUGCCUUAUACUUAGUACAUUUUCUGAAAUUACAAGAGAAUGGAAAUAAAACAAACAUUCUUUUAGAUUGAAA